GACCAACGCUGGCGGCGUGCUUAACACAUGCAAGUCGAGCGGUAAGGCCCUUUCGGGGGUACACGAGCGGCGAACGGGUGAGUAACACGUGGGUGACCUGCCCUCAGCUCUGGGAUAAGCCUGGGAAACCGGGUCUAAUACUGGAUAUGACUCCAUGACGCAUGUUGUGGGGUGGAAAGCCUUGUGCGGCUGAGGAUGGGCCCGCGGCCUAUCAGCUUGUUGGUGGGGUGANGGCCUACCAAGGCGACGACGGGUAGCCGGCCUGAGAGGGCGACCGGCCACACUGGGACUGAGACACGGCCCAGACUCCUACGGGAGGCAGCAGUGGGGAAUCUUGCGCAAUGGGCGAAAGCCUGACGCAGCGACGCCGCGUGAGGGAUGACGGCCUCGG
rnacentral:rRNA from 1 species